rnacentral:lncRNA from 11 species
AUUCCAGUUCAAAGCAGAUAUUGUGGGAUUUCUUGCCUUGAUAUUCUGGGUUAUAUGGCUGUGUGGAUGGGCCCUGAGUCACACUGCCAUAUAGUCCAGUUCAAAGCAAAUAAUGUGGGAUUUUCUGCCUUGAUAUUCUGGGUUGCAAUGGCUGUGUGGAAGGACCCUAAGAUGGCUUCAGAAUAUGCCAUGCAAUGUUUUGAUGCUUCAUCCUCAAGCAACAUUGUGAUAAAAACCACGUAAGAGAAAAGAAUAAUAACAUGUUAGAAAUCAGAAGAAGAUCGUUUGUCAAAAUAUUGUUUUUGCCCGUUUAGAUGGUCUGGCGGCAACAACAAAAAACAUAUUGACAAAAUGUCGGCCUGUUCUCUCACAUCCUCCUUUUCUCCCGCCCUUUUCCUGUAUGACUGUAACACUGAUGAAGCCUGAAGAAGACAGUGCAUCCUACAGCAAGGAAGAAAUGGGAGAUAUAGAUAGAUAGAUAUAUCAGGAGGGAAAGAAAGAAGGAGCGAAAAGGCCUGCAGACCAAGGAGAAGCAGCUAAGGCGGCUCUCAUAAAGGAAGGCCGAGAGCGAGGAAGGAGGUUUUCGGGCCCGGAGAAAGCGACCUUGGCGCCACAACAGACCGGAGGAAACCAAACCAGGCCAGGCCGCCCCCCGCUUUCGCUCACCUUGGCCUCAGGCGCGGAGGAGGGCCUCUCGACGUCCCCUCAGGCCGCCGGAAAUCUGGCUGGGCUGCCUGCGCACGGUACGUUACGUUACGUUACGUACAAGCGCUUCCCUUUCCUGAAGGGCGCCUUAGCGACGGCGCACACAAACCCCGCCCUCCCGUCACCGGAAGCGAGUGCUCUCGUGAGAGGUGGCCGAAAGGAGACAAGAUAUGAGAGAGAGAGAGAGAGAGAGAGCGAGAUCUCGCGCCGUCACGUGGUCUGCGUUUGUAUACAAGAGUGCGUGCUUCCUUGGAUUCCCCUUCUAAACCAUAAAGAUCUUGCUUGCCUGCCACUGCCCAAAGAAUUGAAUAGAGCAAAGCUGGGAAAGAUUGGACACCCAUAUAUCAUCUCAUACAGGAUCAAGCUAUGGAUGCCCAUUAUUGUCUUAUUCAUGAUCACUGGGUUUCAAAGAGUGGUGCAAUGGGUUAAACCCUUGUGCCGUCUGAACUGCUGACCUAAAAGUUCAAAUCCACAAGACGGGGUGAGUUCUCGCCUGCCAGCUCUAGCUUCCAAUGCGAGGACAUGAGAGAUGUCUGCAGGAUGGUAACACAUCCGGGCGUCCCCUGGGCAACAUCUUUGAAGAUGGCCAAUUCUCUCACACCAGAAGUGACUUGCCUCAAUUUGCUUCUGACACGAAAAAAAACCAGGGUUCAGCAGCUGUACCAGCACCCUGGGAGGAUUGCCACCGAAGCCACUCCAUGAACUGGGAGGUUCUAUGAACUGAUAGACUGGUCUAUGGAGACAUCCACGCCCAAUCUAUUGACCUUGGCAGCAGGAGUAAUAAAGCUACUUAAUUGUAAAAUUGUUUUGUUUCUUUCAUAGUAUGUGUUUCCCCUUUCUCUUUAAUACACUUGUUAUGGCGCAAGUGGCGCCAUCUAUAUCUGGAACUGUAAGUUGCAAGAUUUGAAUUGUUGUAUCAUGCCCGAUUUUGCCUUUUUACCCUGUAAAUGUAGUUGGAUUGAUUGGUUAUUUAUAGCUGUCAAUCAAUGUUGUUUGCACCAGUUAUAUUGCUCCCUCAGCUCAAUUGUUUGUCUCCACCUUUUCCUGGAGUAGGACAGUGUUUCCUUUUUCAUUCCACCAUCAAGCUUUCUAUCAGAUGGACGUGAGAGAGAGACUUGGCUCUAAAAGCCCUUGAUUAAGUUACCUCUCAGCACCAAUUUUGAGGUUCUUACCCUUGAGAUUUAUGCUUCAUGUUCAGACCAAUCUGGACGACGUUGAGAAGUCUCAAGCGCCUUCAAAUCGGUUCUUUGGCACCAGAGGAAGGCUCUGUGUCUUCAAACAUAGACCAUUUGGACUGGGGUUGAGGAUUGCUUCGUCAUUCUCAGCCAUUGAGAAAGAGGGACCUGGAAAAGCUUCUCAGCUGCAAAGCUCCUUGGGCCCAAGACAACCAGAGACUGUAAUGUAUAUUUUCCUUUACCCCUUUGAAACUUACAGCUUAUUGCCUUAAGGGGAAUAACCUUUUGUAAACAAUAAAACCAGUUUUGUGUUAC